rfam:Pilibacter termitis strain ATCC BAA-1030 genome assembly, contig: EI49DRAFT_scaffold00008.8
GGUAUUGUUUACCCCAUUUUAAGGCCCCGGAAACCGAAAAAUGAAAUGUAAACAGGAA